CCUACGGGAGGCAGCAGUGGGGAAUAUUGGACAAUGGGGGAAACCCUGAUCCAGCGACGCCGCGUGAGUGAAGAAGUAUUUCGGUACGUAAAGCUCUAUCAGCAGGAAAGAAAAUGACGGUACCUGACUAAGAAGCCCUGGAUAACUACGUGCCAGCAGCCGCGGUAAUACGUAGGGGGCAAGCGUUAUCCGGAUUUACUGGGUGUAAAGGGAGCGUAGGCGGCAGGGCAAGUCUGGAGUGAAAUGCCGGGGUCCAACCCCGGAACUGCUCUGGAAACUGGGAAGCUGGAGUGCAGGAGAGGCAGGCGGAAUGCCUAGUGUAGCGGUGAAAUGCGUAGAUAUUAGGAGGAACACCAGUGGCGAAGGCGGCCUGCUGGACGGUGACUGACGCUGAGGCUCGAAAGCGUGGGGAGCGAACAGGAUUAGAUACCCCAGUAGUC
rnacentral:rRNA from 1 species